UAUUUCUUUCAUCUGUGCAGAAACGAGCAAUAUCGCUGAGAAGGAUUUUAGCAUUCCUAACCAGGUCGUCGGCAGGGACAAUGGAGAGGAAAACACCAAAGUUUGUAGCAUGGAAAAGAGGUUUCUUAACUUAACUGAAGAAAGAAAAAGGCUUGAGUCUACGCUUAGUCGAAUGACAAAACGUUCGGAGGAAGAUAAGGUAUUUAUUAACCACUUAAAAACCGCACUUUUCUGGAU